AGCAGCCGCGGUAAUUCCAGCUCCAAUAGCGUAUAUUAAAGUUGUUGCAGUUAAAAAGCUCGUAGUUGAAUUUCGGGAUCAAUUAAUCGGUCGUGCCUCUGGUACGCACUGGUUUUAUUGGUUUCUCCCUUCUGACGAACCAGGAUGUCAUUAAUUUGGUGUCUUGGAGAAUCAGGAUUGUUACUUUGAAAAAUUAGAGUGUUUAAAGCAGGCUAACGCUUGAAUACAUUAGCAUGGAAUAAUGAAAUAGGACGUUUGAUCCUAUUUUGUUGGUUUCUAGGAUCGACGUAAUGAUUAAUAGGGAUAGUUGGGGGCAUUAGUAUUCAAUUGUCAGAGGUGAAAUUCUUGGAUUUAUUGAAGACUAACUACUGCGAAAGCAUUUGCCAAGGAUGUUUUCAUUAAUCAAGAACGAAAGUUAGGGGAUCGAAGACGAUCAGAUACCGUCGUAGU
rnacentral:rRNA from 1 species